rnacentral:rRNA from 1 species
AUACGGAGGAUCCGAGCGUUAUCCGGAUUUAUUGGGUUUAAAGGGAGCGUAGGCGGGAGAUCAAGUCAGCUGUGAAAUGUAGAUGCUCAACAUCUGCACUGCAGUUGAAACUGGUUUUCUUGAGUGCGUAAGGGGCAGGCGGAAUUCGUCGGGUAGCGGUGAAAUGCUUAGAUAUGACGAAGAACUCCGAUCGCGAAGGCAGCCUGCCGGGCCGCGACUGACGCUGAAGCUCGAAGGUGCGGGUAUCGAACAGGAUUAGAUACCCUGGUAGUCCGCACAGUAAACGAUGGAUACUCGCUGUCGGCGAUAUACGGUCGGUGGCCAAGCGAAAGCGUUAAGUAUCCCACCUGGGGAGUACGCCGGCAACGGUGAAACUUAAAGGAAUUGGCGGGG